AAUGGACGGGACAAAGGGUCAAGAUCCCACGAGGGUGAGCUAACUCCAAAAACCCGUCCUCAGUUCGGAUUGUAGGCUGCAACUUGCCUGCAUGAAU
rfam:Gossypium hirsutum cultivar TM-1 unplaced genomic scaffold scaffold288.1, whole genome shotgun sequence